AAACUACAAGGGGAGCCGAAGCUCCCCCAGAAGUAGUUGCGUGCUCUAUUUUUAUUAUUGAUUUCGGGCUUCUUGUUUUUGUUGAUCGCCCUCGCCAUGAAGCUUCACCUUCAUGACACUCCCAAUCGGGAGUCAAGAGCAAACGGAUUGCUUUGGUCGCUGUGUUGCUGAUCUACGAUCCAACCAGUUCAGGCUCCGCCUUAGGGCAGUU
rnacentral:misc_RNA from 1 species